GGAUUGUAGCUCAGUGGUAGAGCACUUGCCUAGCAUGUGUGAGACACUGGGUUUGAUCCUCAGCACCA
rnacentral:tRNA from 1 species